AGCAAACACCCUCUUCCAACAACACAAGAGAAGACUCUACACAUGGACAUCACCAGAUGGUCAACACCGAAAUCAGAUUGAUUAUAUUCUUUGCAGCCAAAGAUGGAGAAGCUCUAUACAGUCAGCAAAAACAAGACCAGGAGCUGACUGUGGUUCAGAUCAUGAGCUCCUUAUUGCCAAAUUCAGACUUAAAUUGAAGAAAGUAGGGAAAACCACUAGACCAUUCAGGUAUGACCUAAAUCAAAUCCCUUAUGAGUCUACAGUGGAAGUAAGAAAUAGAUUUAAGGGACUAGAUCUGAUAGACAGAAUGCCUGAUGAACUAUGGACUGAGGUUGGUGACAUUGUACAGGAGACAGGGAUCAAGACCAUCCCCAGGGAAAAGAAAUGCAAAAAAGCAAAAUGGCUGUCUGAGGAGGCCUUACAAAUAGCUGUGAAAAGAAGAGAAGCAAAAAGCAAAGGAGAAAAGGAAAGAUACAAGCAUCUGAAUGCAGGGUUCCAAAGAAUAGCAAGAAGAGAUAAGAAAGCCUUCCUCAGUGAUCAAUGCAAAGAAAUAGAGGAAAACAACAGAAUGGGAAAGACUAGAGAUCUCUUCAAGAAAAUUAGAGAUACCAAGGGAACAUUUCAUGCAAAGAUGGGCUCGAUAAAGGACAGAAAUGAUAUGGACCUAACAGAAGCAGAAGAUAUUAAGAAGAGGUGGCAAGAAUAUACAGAAGAACUGUACAAAAAAGAUCUUCACAACCAAGAUAAUAAUGAUGGUGUGAUCACUCACCUAGAGCCAGACAUCCUGGAAUGUGAAGUCAAGUGGGCCUUAGAAAACAUCACUAUGAACAAAGCUAGUGGAGGUGAUGGAAUUCCAGUGGAGCUAUUUCAAAUCCUGAAAGAUGAUGCUGUGAAAGUGCUGCACACAAUAUGCCAGCACAUUUGGAAAACUCAACAGUGGCCACAGGACUGGAAAAGGUCAGUUUUCAUUCCAAUCCCAAAGAAAGGCAAUGCCAAAGAAUGCUCAAACUACCGCACAAUUGCACUCAUCUCACACGCCAGGAAAGUAAUGCUCAAAAUUCUCCAAGUUAGGCUUCAGCAAUACGUGAAUUGUGAACUUCCAGAUGUUCAAGCUGGUUUUAGAAAAGGCAGAGGAACCAGAGAUCAAAUUGCCAACAUCCGCUAGCUCAUCAAAAAAGCAAGCGAGUUCCAGAAAAAAACAUCUAUUUCUGCUUUAUUGACUAUGCCAAAGCCUUUGA
rnacentral:lncRNA from 1 species